UACGUAGGGGGCGAGCGUUGUCCGGAAUCAUUGGGCGUAAAGCGCGUGUAGGCGGCUCGGUAAGUCCGCUGUGAAAGUCGGGGGCUCAACCCUCGAAAGCCGGUGGAUACUGUCGGGCUAGAGUACGGAAGAGGCGAGUGGAAUUCCUGGUGUAGCGGUGAAAUGCGCAGAUAUCAGGAGGAACACCAAUUGCGAAGGCAGCUCGCUGGGACGGUACUGACGCUGAGACGCGAAAGCGUGGGGAGCGAACAGG
rnacentral:rRNA from 1 species